rnacentral:ncRNA from 2 species
UAUUUGUCGCAAAAUAAUGGUGAUUAUCUCUUCUACAGUUGAGAUAAGAGAGGGAAUCCGGUGAAAAUCCGGAACAGUACCCGCUACUGUAAGUCCGGGUUUUAAUUGCAACAACAAUUAAAAUCUUUUGUAUCUACACCACUGUUCGACAAAAAUCGAAUGGGAAGGUUACAAAGAAGGACAAGUCAGGAAACCUGCCAUUGCAAUAACUUUUUA